rnacentral:tRNA from 1 species
AUUUAUAUAGUUUAAUAAAAAAAACAUUACAUUUUCAAUGUAAAAUUAGAAUUUAUUCUUUUAAAUA